rnacentral:rRNA from 1 species
GUCCUAGCCGUAAACGGUGCACAUUUGCUGUGAGCGGAAUCGACCCCGUUCGUGGCGAAGCUAACGCGUUAAAUGUGCCGCCUGGGAAGUACGGUCGCAAGAUUAAAACUCAAAGAAAUUGACGGGGGCCUGCACAAGCGGUGGAGUAUGUGGCUUAAUUCGAUGCAACGCGAAGAACCUUACCUGGCCUUGACAUGUAGGUAGUAGAACCGUGAAAUCGGGACGAGGUAGCAAUACCAGCCUACACAGGUGCUGCAUGGCUGUCGU